AAUAUUGGUCAAUGGACGCAAGUCUGAACCAGCCAUGCCGCGUGAAGGAUUGAGGCCCUAUGGGUCGUAAACUUCUUUUGUGGUGGAGCAAUAAGGCGUACGUGUACGCCGAUGAGAGUACAUCACGAAUAAGCAUCGGCUAACUCCGUGCCAGCAGCCGCGGUAAUACGGAGGAUGCAAGCGUUAUCCGGAUUUAUUGGGUUUAAAGGGUGCGUAGGCUGUUCGACAAGUCAGGGGUGAAAGCCCGGCGCCUAACGCCGGAACUGCCUUUGAUACUGCCGAGCUGGAAUACGGAUGCCGUGGGAGGAAUGAGUAGUGUAGCGGUGAAAUGCAUAGAUAUUACUCAGAACACCGAUUGCGAAGGCAUCUCACGAAUCCGUCAUUGACGCUGAGGCACGAAAGCGUGGGGAUCAAA
rnacentral:rRNA from 1 species